rnacentral:lncRNA from 1 species
CAGAUAGACCUCGUCCGGACUCCUACGGGAGUCGGACUCCGCCCAUAACUCCGACUGGAAGCAGACUCCGCCCGGACUCCUACGGGAGCCGGGCUCCGUCACCGACUCCAACGGCAAAGCAGACUCCGCCCGGACUCCUACGGGAGCCAGGCUCGUCUCCAACUCCGACUACAAGGGAGACUCCGCCCGGACUCCUACGGGAGCCAGGC